rnacentral:lncRNA from 1 species
CAUCCGCAAGGUCGUAGCUUUUACGAUAGCCGAGAUAUGGCAUUUUUGAUGCCCAUUUUUGGCCUCAAAAACGAGGUCGAAAAAAUACUCGAUUUCUUAGUUCUGCUCGGAUUCUCUUAUAACCCGGUAUUUUUGUGAUCUACUUGAUGAGAACAAUCCGCUGGUAUAGUUAGUUCGAAUUCGAAAAAAAAUAAUUUUCUGAAAAAAAUCGAUACGGGGGGGUAUACCCGAAAAACGAAAAAACCCAAACUUUGAAGGCCGAUAUCUCGGCUUCUAUGGGAGCUAUCGGGAAAAUUCCAACGGUUUUGUCUUUGUUUCGUUCUUUUGAAUCCAACGAGACCAUCCGCAAGGUCGUAGCUUUUACGAUAGCCGAGAUAUGGCAUUUUUGAUGCCCAUUUUUGGCCUCAAAAACGAGGUCGAAAAAAUACUCGAUUUCUUAGUUCUGCUCGGAUUCUCUUAUAACCCGGUAUUUUUGUGAUCUACUUGAUGAGAACAAUCCGCUGGUAUAGUUAGUUCGAAUUCGAAAAAAAAUAAUUUUCUGAAAAAAAUCGAUACGGGGGGGUAUACCCAAAAAACGAAAAAACCCAAACUUUGAAGGCCGAUAUCUCGGCUUCUAUGGGAGCUAUCGGGAAAAUUCCAACGGUUUUGUCUUAGUUUCGUUCUUUUGAAUCCAACGAGACCAUCCGCAAGGUCGUAGCUUUUACGAUAGCCGAGAUAUGGCAUUUUUGAUGCCCAUUUUUGGCCUCAAAAACGAGGUCAAAAAAAUACUCGAUUUCUUAGUUCUGCUCGGAUUCUCUUAUAACCCGGUAUUUUUGUGAUCUACUUGAUGAGAACAAUCCGCUGGUAUAGUUAGUUUGAAUUCGAAAAAAAAAAAAUUCUGAAAAAAAUCGAUACGGGGGGGUAUACCCGAAAAACGAAAAAACCCAAACUUUGAAGGCCGAUAUCUCGGCUUCUAUGGGAGCUAUCGGGAAAAUUUCAACGGUUUUGUCUUAGUUUCGUUCUUUUGAAUCCAACGAGACCAUCCGCAAGGUCGUAGCUUUUACGAUAGCCGAGAUAUGGCAUUUUUGGAGCCCAUUUUUGGCCUCAAAAACGAGGUCGAAAAAAUACUCGAUUUCUUAGUUCUGCUCGGAUUCUCUUAUAACCCGGUAUUUUUGUGAUCUACUUGAUGAGAACAAUCCGCUGGUAUAGUUAGUUCGAAUUCGAAAAAAAAUAAUUUUCUGAAAAAAAUCGAUACGGGGGGGUAUACCCAAAAAACGAAAAAACCCAAACUUUGAAGGCCGAUAUCUCGGCUUCUAUGGGAGCUAUCGGGAAAAUUCCAACGGUUUUGUCUUAGUUUCGUUCUUUUGAAUCCAACGAGACCAUCCGCAAGGUCGUAGCUUUUACGAUAGCCGAGAUAUGGCAUUUUUGAUGCCCAUUUUUGGCCUCAAAAACGAGGUCGAAAAAAUACUCGAUUUCUUAGUUCUGCUCGGAUUCUCUUAUAACCCGGUAUUUUUGUGAUCUACUUGAUGAGAACAAUCCGCUGGUAUAGUUAGUUCGAAUUCGAAAAAAAAAUAAUUUUCUGAAAAAAAUCGAUACGGGGGGGUAUACCCAAAAAACGAAAAACCCAAACUUUGAAGGCCGAUAUCUCGGCUUCUAUGGGAGCUAUCGGGAAAAUUCCAACGGUUUUGUCUUAGUUUCGUUCUUUUGAAUCCAACGAGACCAUCCGCAAGGUCGUAGCUUUUACGAUAGCCGAGAUAUGGCAUUUUUGGAGCCCAUUUUUGGCCUCAAAAACGAGGUUGAAAAAAUACUCGAUUUCUUAGUUCUGCUCGGAUUCCCUUAUAACCCGGUAUUUUUGUGAUCUACUUGAUGAGAACAAUCCGCUGGUAUAGUUAGUUUGAAUUCGAAAAAAAAAAAUUUCUGAAAAAAAUCGAUACGGGGGGGUAUACCCGAAAAACGAAAAAACCCAAACUUUGAAGGCCGAUAUCUCGGCUUCUAUGGGAGCUAUCGGGAAAAUUCCAACGGUUUUGUCUUAGUUUCGUUCUUUUGAAUCCAACGAGACCAUCCGCAAGGUCGUAGCUUUUACGAUAGCCGAGAUAUAGCAUUUUUGAUGCCCAUUUUUGGCCUCAAAAACGAGGUUGAAAAAAUACUCGAUUUCUUAGUUCUGCUCGGAUUCCCUUAUAACCCGGUAUUUUUGUGAUCUACUUGAUGAGAACAAUCCGCUGGUAUAGUUAGUUCGAAUUCGAAAAAAAAUAAUUUUCUGAAAAAAAUCGAUACGGGGGGGUAUACCCGAAAAAUGAAAAAACCCAAACUUUGAAGGCCGAUAUCUCGGCUUCUAUGGGAGA